rnacentral:rRNA from 1 species
GACGAACGAUGGCGGAGUGCUUAACACAUGCAAGUCGAACGGAAAGGCCCUGCUUUUGUGGGGUGCUCGAGUGGCGAACGGGUGAGUAACACGUGAGUAACCUGCCCUUGACUUUGGGAUAACUUCAGGAAACUGGGGCUAAUACCGGAUAGGAGCUCCUGCUGCAUGGUGGGGGUUGGAAAGUUUCGGCGGUUGGGGAUGGACUCGCGGCUUAUCAGCUUGUUGGUGGGGUAGUGGCUUACCAAGGCUUUGACGGGUAGCCGGCCUGAGAGGGUGACCGGCCACAUUGGGACUGAGAUACGGCCCAGACUCCUACGGGAGGCAGCAGUGGGGAAUAUUGCACAAUGGGCGGAAGCCUGAUGCAGCAACGCCGCGUGCGGGAUGACGGCCUUCGGGUUGUAAACCGCUUUCGCCUGUGACGAAGCGUGAGUGACGGUAAUGGGUAAAGAAGCACCGGCUAACUACGUG